GGGGAGCGGGUGUAAGUCUUUAUGAUGGUUAUACACCACGUUGGGCAGGCUUGUUUAAUCUCCAUAUAAAGACCUGAAGCUUAAACUCCAGAAAGUCUGAAGAGACUGCAAGACUUGAGAUCGGGUGAGGUUAACGUACUUUCAGGGUAGGGGUAAAAUCCUGUAAUCCCGGAAGGACGACCAGUGGCGAAAGCGUUUAACUAGAACGAAUCUGACGGUAAGGAACGAAGGCUAGGGUAGCAAACCGGAUUAGAUACCCGGGUAGUCCUAGCUGUAAACAUUGCCCAUUUGAUGUUGCUUUCCCGUUGAGGGAAGGCAGUGUCGGAGCGAAGGUGUUAAAUGGGCCGCUUGGGAAGUAUGGUCGCAAGACUGAAACUUAAAGGAAUUGGCGGGGGAGCACCGCAACGGGAGGAAUGUGCGGUUUAAUUGGAUUCAACGCCGGAAAACUCACCGGGAACGACCUGUGCAUGAGAGUCGACUUGACGAGCUUACUCGAUAGCAGGAGAAGGUGGUGCAUGGCCGUCGUUCGCUCGUUACCGUAGGGCCGUACACUUAAGUGUGAUAACGA
rnacentral:rRNA from 1 species